CCUACGGGUGGCUGCAGUGGGGAAUAUUGGACAAUGGGCGAAAGCCUGAUCCAGCAAUACCGCGUGUGUGAAGAAGGCCUUAGGGUUGUAAAGCACUUUCAAUUGGAAGGAAAAAUUCGUAGCUAAUAUCUACGAACUUGACAUUACCUUUAGAAGAAGCACCGGCUAACUCCGUGCCAGCAGCCGCGGUAAUACGGAGGGUGCAAGCGUUGAUCGGAAUUACGGGUCGGCAAGCCGGCGUAGGCGGUGUGAAAGCCCUGGGCUCAACCUGGGAACUGCAUUUGAAACUGGCGAGCUAGAGUUUGAGAGAGGUAAGUGGAAUUUCAGGUGUAGCGGUGAAAUGCGUAGAGAUCUGAAGGAACACCAGUGGCGAAGGCGACUUACUGGCUUAAAACUGACGCUGAGGUACGAAAGCGUGGGUAGCAAACAGGAUUAGAUACCCCUGUAGUC
rnacentral:rRNA from 1 species